UAGGUAAGAUGCAAUGUAAAUUGUUGCGCCCAACACUGUUGAAAUUUACAGCUACAUUGGGGAGAGCAAGUAU